rnacentral:lncRNA from 1 species
GUCUCAGACGUCAUCUGUGGGGGUGGACAAUUGAAAGCCGUGGAAAGUUGAGGAGAUGGGACCUUGCCUGAGAAGGUACUUCAGGAACCCGUGAAGGGUGUGGUUUGUCCUCAGCCUCCUUCCCCCAUUCUCUUUGCCUCCUGGCAGCUGUGAGAUAACAUCUUUAAUCAGAGAGCCACUCCUGCUCUUCAGCUCUUCAGCCAAGCACCUCAGAGGAAGCUGAGCCCAUGUGGAGUCCCCAGGGGUGGUCGAGUGAUAAUGUCACUUGUGCCAUAUGUACCCCCUUGGCAGAAUGACGGAUAUGCAAACUAAUUCCAGCUCAUAGAGGUGGGAAUCACUGCUGCUGGCGAAAGCAUGGGGCUUCCUGGAGGAGGAGACCUGGUGACCCACAGGCUGUCUGAAAUGGUCUGAAAACGAGCAGAAGUUAGGCCGAUGUAAGUAGAGUGUUGUAGGCAGAAAGCACAGUCCCCGUCCCCGUGUGGUCGAAGACACAGGACAGUCCUGACUCAGAGGUAGUACGGAUCACAAGGAACAGAGGUGGGGGGGGGGGGCACGGGGACGGAACGCCCUUUCUGACUCUCAAGAUGGGCUCAUCAUGUUUGGCUCACGAGGCGCUGAGGUCCUCACUGAACUCAGAGGGAGUUUGAGGGAGUUUGGGCGUCGCUCUAGAGAAGAUGGAUGACGGUGGAGUGCCGUGUGAUGCUGGUGCACAGCCCGCUGCUACCCAGGUAACCACGGUGGCCCUUGAACUCGGUUCCCCUGGACUCUCAGGACUUACUUGGGUGCCGUUCUCUUCUCUCUCAGCUGCCCGUCUAGGCUGAGUGCCGCCCUGAGCCCUGUGUUGGCCUCAGUACUCCAUCAGGUCCAGCCCCCGGUCUCCUGCUUCGGUUUGUCUUUGUCCUGUGUUGGGUGUGCUGCUUGGACUCCUUAUUCUCUCAGAGCGACCAAUUGAGAGGCAAAGAGCAGAAUGAGCGAGCGGCUUCCAGCACACUCAGAGUGAACCAGAGGCUGAGGGCACAGCCAUUGUCCCUGCCUCCCAUGAGGAUCUAUUUGAGGGGCUGGGCCUCCCUCAAUGCCUGGUUUUGAUAGGCCAAGAGCCAUUGUAAAUAUAUGAAACUGUCACUGGUAUAGCCGAGAGGUGGAAAGGGAAGGGCUGGCUAAUGGAGAGUCAACUGUGGACAUCCAAUUCUCCCCUAAAGGCAGGGUUGGGAGGGUGCUGGAUGCAACAAUGAGGACCUGAAUCUAGAUUGCCAGAACCAAGGGUAAAAAAACAAAAAAAUCAAAAAACAAAACAAAACAAAAAACAAACAACAACAAACGACAACAACAACAGCAAAAAAACCAAAAACCCAAAAACCCAAAAAAGCCUUGCAUGUGG